ACUAAUUGUAUUUAAAGGCUCUAUUUAGACCUAACCCAAACAGAUUAUACGAAAAAGGCUAAUCUUAUUAUAUGAAACAAGCCUGAACUGAUAAAAGAGGACUGAAAGUCCAAUUAGAGAAGCGACCUAGAUUUUAUUUCAAUGAGCUGCAUAUUGGGCCUCAUAAUUGAGCCCAAAUUCAGGGCUCUCACGUUUGAGCGAAAAGAAUGCAGGAUCAAAUAACAGAGGUCCAAAAAGGUGCAGGUUCACUCAUGCCAUAUCCAGUCAUCAUUUCACGCCACUAAUUUUAAAACAUGAAAUAAGAUCCUGCCUUCACCGCUAAAUAAUAUGCAGCUUUAAAUUCUGGGCAACUGAAUAACAAUGCCACUUAAUCCUCAGAAACACAACGAAAGAAAAAUCAAGCACUUCUGAAAAUUAAUACCCUACGGCCAGAAAUUACAAUGCCUAUGGUUGAAUAUUGAACCAUUCAUUAAAUCUAGAGAUAAACCCCCAUUAAGCUUAAUUUAAUGGAUACUCUUAAACCAACAGAAGAUAAAUUCUCCAACAAAAAUGAGAAAAGCUAAACAUGAAUGAACUAUAUUAGACCUAAGCCCUGAACCAACAAUUCUGAAACAUGAUAAACUAAAUGACUUCAAACUAAAAUAAUCAAUACCCUUAUCACCGCAACAUAUUUAGAAUUUCAAACAGUCUCGAAAUCAUUUUACAUUCAAAUAAAUGCAAACUCCAAAUCUUAGAAGGAGAAAAACCAUUAACUAUACAACUAACUAAUCUAUGCAAAUUAACAAUAAACGAAAAAUCAUUCAAAACAUGUGGAAAUCAUGAAGAUGCACUGAAAGUCCAGCAUUUAUUAUCAUUUCUACCAAUAAUUACACACCAAUUAUGUAAAGCUAACUUAGACCAAAAAAAGUCACGAUAAACUAGAAAACAAAUGAGAAAAACAACAACGGAAGGCUUCUCAUGCUUCAAUUCUCCAAUUGAUUCAUUUCUCAAGUUUUCAACAUCACAAUCAACAGGACAGAAUGGCGUACCUGGGAAAGUAAAAAUGAAAGGAAAGAGGGGGGAUCAGCAGAUCAGAAUAGCAAUCAGCAUGUACAACAGUAGAGACCAGCAGAAUCAGCUUAACUAGAGGACUAUGGAUGCAGUAAAUACAUCCUUACUCGAGCGAAUACUAAAAUAAACUUCAAAACCCAAGCUUCAACCACCAAUUUCAAUCCAUUUAAGCUAUAUUCAUCGGAAAAUCUUUUUAGAAAUGAAAAGACCUAAGAAAUCACUAGAGUAUCUCAAUGAAACAGUACUUUUUGCUUAGUUUGCUAUUUUGUAUUUUCAGGGUUUCUUAGCUCUCCAAAAUCUGACUUGAGCUGCAAGUAGCAAUGCAUUUAUAGGCAAGAUACUAGGGCAGCCUUGCGAGUUUAGUUAUUUACAAUUAUACCUUUGUGAAUUUUUGUUUUCGCUAGUUAGCCUUUCAUUUACUAACUUGUUGAUCAAGUUAACCUACUACAAUUUUGAAAUUUAAUUAAAAAAAACCCCACUAGAAGCUUCUCAAUCUACUAUCCAAAGCUUUCCUAAUCCGAACUACCCAAAUUACCCCUUACUACCCCUAUUUUUACUACAGAAAACUAAAUGGGUCAUGGGUCAAAUGACUCAAUAGUUAAACUAGGCCUGGGCUCAAAAAUCGGUCCGAAUUUCUUUGGAUAGAAUUAUGAAACAAAUUCAUGGCCCAAAUAGCACACAAUUUCACCAAUCCUAAGCUACAUUAAAGGGAUAAACUUAAACUAAAUAGACAAACAAACAAAGAACACAGAAAUUAACUAAGCUGUUAAGAAAUGAAUUUAGACAAACCGGGCAAGAAGAAUAAUAAAAAAAAAUGGAAAAGAAAGGUUAAAAGAAACAAAAACGGACAAUAAUCAAUUUUAUCUAAAAACUUGUACAUAUUUUAAAUUGUGUAACUUGAAAGAAAGGGAAGUAGAGGAGAGGAACAGUAGUUGAGAAAACAGAAUAAUAAACGGAAAAAAAAAUAAAGGCACUCACUGAAUUAGGCUCGACCUCGACUGACCUUCCGAUUUAAACCGCCAAACAAUAUCAAUCAUAUGUUCUUUGUCAAGAAUAGGCAAACAACAUCGCUUUGUGAUAAAGCCGGCCUUGAACGUUCAUAGACACUGGAGAGGUACCAUUGCAUGAAUGUAUUUCAACUUUGGCUUUUAGGGUUGAACCCUAUAUCUAGGAUUCGAGAAGUUUCAGUUGAAUUUUAGGGAGGAUGGUUUGAGAUUUGGGGAGAUGGGGUCAAGAUGGGUCUUUGAUGUUAUUUUGGUUGAGGUUUGAUGAGGCGUCGUCGGGCUUGCGGUGGGGAAAUGGUGGCGGCUAUUAGGGUUCUUGAAGAGAGAUGAUAGAAGAAGAUGAUGAGGGAUAUAUUUAAACUAGGUUUGAUUUAAAUUGUUCGGACAUAUUAAUGGGGAGUGGCAUGGGCAG
rnacentral:lncRNA from 1 species